CACCAACCCACCCAUAUAGACUCAGAGGUAAGCAUGCAGGGCAUUCACCAACCCACCCAUAAAGACUCAGAGGUAAGCAUGCAGGGCAUUCACCAACCCACCCAUAAAGACUCAGAGGUAAGCAUGCAGGGCAUUCACCAACCCACCCAUA